GGGCUAAAGUGAAACAUUCUUACAUUCAAAGCCAGUCUUUGAGUGCUGCUCAUAUCAAGUGGACUUCAGUUCAGCAGGGAUCUUCUGGUUCCUAUGAGCUUAUAGAGGUAAGUACUGGUGGAAAAUUGAGCAGGCAUAAUGUCAACAUCCAGCAAGUCGGCCCAGAUACAGUAACAGAGUUGUCAGCUUUUCACUUGUCUGUUGGUGACCCAACACAAGAUCUACAUACUAGACUAGUCCUGGACCAUCCACGAGGGUACUUCCGGCAACUUCAUAAGUGCAUUGUGGCUCAUUCACUAGGACAAGCUGUAUUUGAUGGGAAUAUAAAGGUCAACAGAUACGCACAGCAGACAGAUGCAGGACAACUGACAAGAAGCCUUCUUCUUGAGCCUCGGGCAACUGUAAAUGUCAAACCCAACCUCCAAAUCAUUGCUGAUGAUGUCAAGUGUUCCCAUGGAGCUGCAAUUAGUGACCUGGAAGAAAACCAACUUUUCUACUUCUUGGCGCGUGGUAUUGAUUUAGAGACUGCUAGAAAGACUCUCAUCUUCUCCUUCGGAG